CCAGAAGGCGCCAGAGGGAAGCUAUUGAUUGGGGGACCGCUCCGUUGUUUACAAUCCGCGUUGUCAUGGACAUGGACAUGGACACCAGCUAGCUAACCAGCUAACCGCAGCUAAACUAAACCUGGUUUGAGUCCAUUUCUACCAAAAUUGAAGAUGAUAAACAUCAGCAACCGAGCAUUGGAUAGACUCUACUCUGUUCUCCUCCUGGCCGUAGUGGUGUUGUCGUGGACCUACGUCAUCUAUGGGAGUAGAAUAGCAGCACAGAGACAGUUGGAGAAGAGACUCAACAUCAAACUACACAACUAAAGCACCAGCGGCACUACCUCAACACUAAAUACCGUGGACAUUCCCAAGACAAAGGACCCUGGACCAGUCUCCAUCCCAUUGCCUACUGUGAUGAAGUCUGUCUUUACUGAUCAGACUCAUUUAUACACCACCAUGCUGAAUGCUUCUCCUUCCUUUCUUUACUUCCUUUACCAUGUUAGUUCGUCUUAGAUGUGAGGAACAUUUUUUCAUAUUGUGCAAAAAAUGAUUUCUAUUAAAAAAAAAGAGAGAGAAAGUAA